rnacentral:lncRNA from 1 species
UGACAAUAGAAAAUUAUAUUGGGAAGUUGUCAUUUCUACAGUAAAAACAGCUUUUUUUCAAGUAGUACGAAUUGUGACUUCGAUUUAUCUGUGGAACUAUUUGAACAGAAGGUAAAGCAGUAAUUUUGUUGUAUUUAGAAAGCAAACAGAGUCAUAUUUUUAAAAAUAUAGCGCACUGAAUAUAAAUUUGAGCAUCAUUAAAAUGUGUUCGCUAUGAUGCCAUUUUGUCUCCGGUAUAUACGGAGUUCUGCUUUUAUACUUGUGGAUAUUCGAAUUUAUUUGGCUCAAAAACACCAUUACUUCAAUAUCCCUUUCUUGUUUUUCCUUGGAUAGGUUUUAACAAGAUAGAACUCUAGAUCCCUUGGGUCCAAAGACGCUAGAUUAUAAAAUCCUGAUGUGACUGAUACUACAAAUAGAAUAUGUCUUAUGAUUUAAUACUACAAAUAAAAUGUCUUUUAAGUACAAACUUCAAUGAAUUGAUAAAGUGUAAGGAUAGUGUUUAAAGUUGCUUCAUGUGUAGAAGCUGAAUUACUUUAGUUUAUACACUGUAUAUUGUCGAGAUCACAUGUUGAUAUGACUUAAUACCAGCAACUUGCAAUAAGUGGUCUGUUCUGCUUGUUUAUAAUACUUUAGAGUUUGGACAUUAGAACAUUGUAAUUGCCUGACAGAGACUGUUAGGGCCUGUUUGUAUGGAAGCCGGGCUGGCCCGCUUAGCAAGACAGCCCGGUAAGGUAGGUAAGCAGGAUGAUUUCUCUUGUGUUUAUUUGAGAAAAUUUCAUUCCGCUUACCGGGACAAUUUUGUUGUUUUGACAUUAUUUUGACAGUUGUUAAAAAUAGCUUGCGGCAGUAUCUUUGAACUUUCAUCCCGGCAACCGGGCUAGCCUGCUUAUGAUUGUUUAUGUGGAGAAAUUUCCAUCCUGGUCUUGGCAACCGGGCCUGCCCGCUUGUCCAUAGAAAUGAUAAUUUGUACUAUAAAAAUAACUAGACAGCGAGAUCUCACUUACCGGGCUGUCUCACUUAGCGGGCCAGCCAGUUUCAAUAUAAACAGGCCCUUACACAACUGCUAAAAGCUGCAAGUUUCUUUAAAGCAAUAUCAUCUAUAUCACAGAAUACAGUUUCUGUAGUGACAUACUUGUGUUUUUUCUGUCUUUAAAGUGUCUUAUGUUUGUAAUAUUUUUGUACAAUACCUUUUUGAAAUUGUUGAUACUGGUCUCAUUGUAACUCAGUAGUCUCAGUUAUUCCUUCUCAAGAAAAAUACAAAAACAAAGCUGUGUGGGUGUGUUUUUGCUCUAGCUAGUUUUUACAUUUACAUGGUUCAUGUACAAUUAAUGUACAUUUAAAUUAGCUUUGUUCAAUGAAUACAGGUGUGAUUCAAAUAUCAUUCCUGUCAGGUACUUGGGUCAAAUAGACAUAAGCAUACUAAAUCAUGCUGUGAAUUGAAAUACAAGUAUAGGGUGUAUAUUGUUUAAUAAAUAUAUUUUCCAGUUAACCCAGUAAGCUGCAUUGUGCCCCAAUGCACCCUACUUUACUAGUUUAUUUCACUUCAUCUAAUGCCAGAUGAUUUUACUUAUCGAGGGAGAGUGCUGCUGCUCAUUGAGCUCUGAUUGAGUUCACUGAGUGGCAGCACUUUCCCCUUGACGAGUGAAAUUGUCUGGCGUUAGACAGAGUAAAAUAAUCUUGCGUUCAAUCAAUCAGCUACUUUUUCAAAAGCUCAACCAGGUUAAAGAUUCUUUGAUUUGAAAACCAAAGUGAUAGUGAACUAGUUAGUUGAAACAAACAGAAUUGUUUGAUUUAUUUACUUUCCACAACAUUGACAAUUAAAAUUUAAUUUGAUACUUUUCCAGUAUAUUGACAUUAUAUAGGUUCAAAUCAUAUUGACAUUAUAUAGGUUCAGAUUUGACCACGAUUACCAUUAAGGGACCAUCAACCAAUCAAAUGCAUAUGAUAUAUUUGAUCAACCAUUAUAAUGAAAGUGUGAGUUUAUUCAUAAACUAAUUAUAAAUCAACUUCCAUGCAAUGCUUCAUGCAAUCAUCUAGCUAUGCACCAGUCAAUGUAAAUCCCUGCCCCCAACCGGGGAGGGGUGGAAGUUUAACAGGGAAAGUGGUCAGUUUUGAUUAUAAAUUUGUCCCCGAUGAUGGGAGACUUGGACAGUGGUUAACAUAUAUAUCCUGUGUUGCUGUUUUAGUUUUCUUGACAAGAAAAGUUUAAAUACAACAACAUAAAUGAAUUUGAUUUUCUAUUGCUGAUCUUUUCUAUUCUAUUCUAUGAUUAUACAAAACUAUUUUCCUG